rnacentral:rRNA from 1 species
GACGAACGCUGGCGGCGUGCUUAACACAUGCAAGUCGAACGGAAAGGCCUGCUUUCCCUUGUGGAUUGCGGGUACUCGAGUGGCGAACGGGUGAGUAACACGUGAGUGAUCUGCCCCCAACUUGGGUAUAAGCCUGGGAAACUGGGUCUAAUUCCCGAUAGGACUGCAGGGUGGUGCCUGUGGUGGAAAACGAUUUUCUAGUGGUUGGGGAUGAGCUCGCGGCCUAUCAGCUUGUUGGUGGGGUAAUGGCCUACCAAGGCGGCGACGGGUAGCCGGCCUGAGAGGGUGGACGGCCACAUUGGGACUGAGAUACGGCCAAGACUCCUACGGGAGGCAGCAGUGGGGAAUAUUGCACAAUGGGCGGAAGCCUGAUGCAGCGACGCCGCGUGGGGGAUGACGGCCUUCGGGUUGUAAACUCCUUUCGACCGCGAGGAAGCCACCUGGUUGGAAGGGUGGUGACGGUAGUGGUAGAAGAAGCACCGGCUAACUACGUG